GAAAAAUUAGUUAAAACAUAACAUAAGCUUGUCAUGCUUAAAUUAUCAUACUUAUUGAUAUUUUUCA
rnacentral:tRNA from 1 species